rnacentral:rRNA from 1 species
AAGCUACCCCGGGGAUAACAGGCUGAUCUCCCCCAAGAGUCCACAUCGACGGGGAGGUUUGGCACCUCGAUGUCGGCUCAUCGCAUCCUGGGGCUGUAGUCGGUCCCAAGGGUUGGGCUGUUCGCCCAUUAAAGCGGUACGCGAGCUGGGUUCAGAACGUCGUGAGACAGUUCGGUCCCUAUCCGUCGCGGGCGCAGGAAAUUUGAGAGGAGCUGUCCUUAGUACGAGAGGACCGGGAUGGACGCACCGCUGGUGUACCAGUUGUCCCGCCAGGGGCACCGCUGGGUAGCUAUGUGCGGACGGGAUAAGCGCUGAAAGCAUCUAAGCGUGAAGCCCCCCUCAAGAUGAGAUUUCCCACCGCGUCAGGCGGGUAAGAUCCCUCGAAGAUGACGAGGUCGAUAGGUCCGAGGUGGAAGCGUGGCGACACGUGGAGCUGACGGAUACUAAUCGAUCGAGGGCUUGACCUAU